rnacentral:misc_RNA from 1 species
GAAAUGCGAUAAGUAAUGUGAAUUGCAGAAUUCAGUGAAUCAUCGAAUCUUUGAACGCACAUUGCGCUCGCCAGUAUUCUGGCGAGCAUGCCUGUUCGAGCGUCAUUUCAACCAUCAAGCUCUACUUGCGUUGGGGAUCUGCGGCUGCCCGCGGUCCCUCAAAAACAGUGGCGGGCUCGCUAGUCACACCGAGCGUAGUAACUCUACAUCGCUAUGGUCGUGCGGCGGGUUCUUGCCGUAAAACCCCCAAUUUCUAAGGUUGACCUCGGAUCAGGUAGGAAUACCCGCUGAACUUAAGC